UCCCAGACUCCUACGGGAGGCAGCAGUGGGGAAUAUUGCACAAUGGGCGAAAGCCUGAUGCAGCAACGCCGCGUGAAGGAAGAAGGGUUUCGGCUCGUAAACUUCUAUCAACAGGGACGAAAGAAAUGACGGUACCUGAAUAAGAAGCCCCGGCUAACUACGUGCCAGCAGCCGCGGUAAUACGUAGGGAGCGAGCGUUGUCCGGAAUUACUGGGCGUAAAGGGAGCGUAGGCGGGACUGCAAGUUGGGUAUCAAAUCUACCGGCUCAACCGGUAGCCGCACUCAAAACUGCAGUUCUUGAGUGAAGUAGAGGCAGGCGGAAUUCCUAGUGUAGCGGUGAAAUGCGUAGAUAUUAGGAGGAACACCAGUGGCGAAGGCGGCCUGCUGGGCUUUUACUGACGCUGAGGCUCGAAAGUGUGGGGAGCAAACAGGAUUAGAUACCCGCGUA
rnacentral:rRNA from 1 species